GGUCAUGCAAGAAAACAGAAGACUGCAAGAGUGGAAAAGGGAGCAUUACUCAACCGCAUCCAGUCCUCCAAGCAACAGGGGGCGCAACAGUGCUGCACAAACUGGACGAACUGCAAAGUUGGUGGCACUGCCUCCUCUCUGGGCCCUGCAGGCUGUUGCCUGUGGGGAGAAAUAUCCAGCCCAAACUGAAAUCCAGAGUGAGCCUCCCAGUCAGAGCGCAGGACUUCAUGGACAGAGGAGGUGAGAUUGCCUCUCCAAAUAUCAGCUGUCAUAAUAUCAGAAUAUUUAGGAGCUUAUAUGUAUGUUUAACAUGACGUGUAUGUUUAUGCACAUAAGUGUUUAACACCACAUGUGUGUUUAUGUACAUGUAUGUUUCACGCGACAUAUGCUGUGUGUGCCCAGCUCAUGGACUGAGAGCAGGGGCCACGUUCAGCAUUUCCCGGCUCUGAGGGACAGCAGGGCCCUUUGGGGUCAGCCUGUGGAGCCCCAGUCCUGAAGUUCUCCCAUCAAGGUGCUCCUGAGUGCCCCCCUCCAUCUCGGCACUGAGCAAAGGAGCCACAACUCACUGAAAAGCGCAGUGAUGUUUCAGUGAUAAUGGCUUGCAGCCUUAAAGAUCAUCAUUUUGAAUGUCUAUAUGGCUCUUAAAAUGUAAUGUUCAUGUUUUUGCAUUGCAUUGAACUCACUUGGUCCCUGCAUAGAUCAACCAUAAAUGCAAAAUGACUCUGGCUAAAGAUCCUCUGGCCUGUUAUCAUCCAGAGCAGCAGAUUCAGAUCUGAUUGACAAUCAUGGGAAGCUGCCAGGUUUGGCCAGAUUUGAUCACAUGGCUAUGAGCGCAUG